UUGAUUAACACUAUUAGAUUCAUAAAAAUAUCACUCAUGUGCUCACUUAUUCAACUAGCAGAAAGUAAUAAUCUGUGCUGUGUAUUCUGAGGUAAGAUUUCAAGAAUGGUUGCGAACGAGGCAGGUUGAGAUUCGUGAAGAUAUUAUAUAUGAUGUUGGGAAAGUGAUAUUUGUUGCCUGAAUUGAUCAAGAAUCGCGAACAAAAUUCUUAUCAGUAGGUAUUAUGAAUUUUGUUCUUCGAAAUAGCAUUCUAGCCUGUCGGGGUUAUGUAAUGAAUCUGCAGAUACUGCUGAAAACAUUCGAAUUAUGGGUGGUUGAGCUUUGUAGUGUUGAGAUGAUGUUUUGAUAUAUUCUAACCCACCAGGUACAGCAGCGUGUAGUGUAGGGUCUAGCUGAUGGAGGACGGAUCUCCCAAGACCAUAAGUGAUAUCUCAACUCUUGAAGCACCCCUCAGUUGGAUUGGAUACAUUCCUGAAAUAUUUGAGAUCUCGAGAUAUCUCAUAGAAGAAGAGCAAGAUAGUUCAGUUCGAAGACAGUACUGAUAUACUUUUCCACCCUCCAAAGAAUGACGGGACAACUCCAGAAGAACAUGGAUGAAGAAAAUAAUGUCAUGCUCAAGCAAUUUUCUUCAGAGAAAUUCAGAAAAUUUGUUGGAGAAAUAUGUCUUAAACAGUUGAGGAACACCAAUUGGAGUACCCAGGCAGAUUAUUUAGAAUAUUUAUAUCUGCAAUUGGAGGAUUGUGCAGCGUAAUGAACAUUACUGAAUUCAAAAAUAAAUAUGACAGAUUUAGAUUUUUUAUGCAUCGUCCGAAAUAGCAUAUUGUGAGAUAUUUAGGUUGGUAAUGUCAUAGCGUUCAUGUGGUUUAGAAUAAUAAAGCUAUAUUA